UCUCUGGUUCUUCUUCUUCUUAUCAUCACCAUCAUCAUCACCAACACUAUUAUUAUUGUUAUUAUUAUUUCUCAUUACGCAUGUUACUUAAAGCGUAUUGGGAGGAGUACCAAUUGGGAUAAUUGUUCAAUGUGCCUCUGCUUAUAUGUAUCUAAUUCACCUGCAUCUAGUUCUGUUAGGCCAGGUUCAGAUAUCAGCCUUGGAUUUACUAGCUGUGCAGAGCUUUACUGCAUAAAUCUUCUCUCGUGGACUGAUGAGACUGCUCAUGAUCAUUUGAAAUAGAUGACAAUAAUGGUGCAAGUAAAAUUGGUGACAAUUCCUUUAAUAAAAUAAUCUGCAAUUGCCUUUGUUCUGAACAUAUACACUACCCAGAUGGGAGGAGCCGAGAAAAUGCUAUUUAACUACCCAAGCAAUGCGUAGUCACCAUGCUAAAUGUCACUCAAAUGAAGAUUUUAUCUACAGAGAUGUGGUAUAGGAUUGAUAGCAAAGCAUCUGUAAUCACAUUUGCAGAACACUCAAUGAGAACUUUUGGGUUAAGCAGACUUCUCCCGUUGGGAAAGGAUUUGGGAUGGAGUGCUAUAAGGAGAACAGACUUCUUACUUUUUGUAGUCCUUGAAAUCUGGUUUAAACCUUUACUACAGUGGUGGAUGCGCUUGUGUUGAUCAAGAUUGUAAAUGCUUUAUCUUGUAUAUGAGUGCUGUUUUGGUUCGUUUUCUCCUUUAGUUAUGAGGAUGACCCCUUGGUCGUGCGGUAUCAUGUAUCUUUCUUUACCCAUCAGGAAAUUACUGCAGGGAAGAGUUUUCUUCACCGCUUUGGUCCAAUCAAGAUGUCGAAGGUCCAAAUGGAGAUUGCAAUGUACUUCCCACUUUCUUGUUCUUGCAUUUUCGUUUCUCAUGCUGGAAACUGCAUCUGGAAGAACAUACUGUCAUCUUGCUAUGGUCAUUGCUGGUUGAAUGGGGUAUUAUCCAUCUAGAUAAAUUCCUCUUCACAAAUCAGAAUUUCUGAGCCUAAAUUGCCAUUUUUUCCUCCAAAGUACGAUCUAACGGCUGUUUAAUGCCUUGUUAUGUUUAGUUAGGCCCAGCGUAAGGGUCUAAUGCUAUCAUGUCUCUGUACUUUUAGCAGGUGCGUGAUAUGUAAUGCAAAACUGCUAGUGGACAUAGGGUGAUAAUUGAUAACCUUUUUCAAAUUGGGCCAAUGAUAUGUACGUGUGUUUCAUGUUUGGUAGGGAAUGCGCGGGACAACUUGGCAUUGUCUUCGAAGGGAUGGAGACAGCUGAUAUAUGUACGUUUCAGAUGGUCCUAGGAGAUCUUUUGUAUUUUAACUAAGGCUCUGGAUUCACAGACUUAGCCAGCUAGGCAUGAUGUAUGACCUUAUCCCUCUUCUAAUGGGUCAAUCCCUUUAGCUGAAAUUGUGCAACAUCCACCAGAUAAGAGUUGGAACACCAGUGAAUUGCUCUAGUACCUUGCGUUUGAAGCGCCACGGGGAGUAGAUGGGGAUAUUCGUUCGAACGAAGGAUUAACUACAAGCCUCGUCAGAUCGUACUCGCAAUCCAAGGCAACGGGUUUUCACAGCUAAGACGCUUUCAUCUGAUGCACAAGGUCAAAUUGUUUAGUGGUUUAAAACGUACAUUGUCUGACCUAAAAAAAAGAUGUGUUGACAAUUGGAAUUUUGGUGGUUCGAUUAGAUCACUGAACUUCCACUAAACCCCGGACUUAGAUCUAUUUGCUGACAUUAAGGUGCCUACUACACCAAGAUCUCAUAUUUUUGUCAGUGCAUGUGGAUCCUGGCUUUGAUGUUCAAUGUGCAUGACCCAGACACUGUCAAUUAUUGGUUUCUGCUACUUAGCUGGCACUAGCUGUGGUACUGUGGCAAGCAGAGAGACCGACAUCUAUGCUAUUUUAUGCACUUACAGUAUCCUGUUUCUUCGAUAACC